rnacentral:rRNA from 1 species
GAUGAACGCUGGCGGCGUGCCUAAUACAUGCAAGUCGAGCGAACGGACGAGAAGCUUGCUUCUCUGAUGUUAGCGGCGGACGGGUGAGUAACACGUGGAUAACCUACCUAUAAGACUGGGAUAACUUCGGGAAACCGGAGCUAAUACCGGAUAAUAUUUUGAACCGCAUGGUUCAAAAGUGAAAGACGGUCUUGCUGUCACUUAUAGAUGGAUCCGCGCUGCAUUAGCUAGUUGGUAAGGUAACGGCUUACUAAGGCAACGAUGCAUAGCCGACCUGAGAGGGUGAUCGGCCACACUGGAACUGAGACACGGUCCAGACUCCUACGGGAGGCAGCAGUAGGGAAUCUUCCGCAAAGGGCGAAAGCCUGACGGAGCAACGCCGCGUGAGUGAUGAAGGUCUUCGGAUCGUAAAACUCUGUUAUUAGGGAAGAACAUAUGUGUAAGUAACUGUGCACAUCUUGACGGUACCUAAUCAGAAAGCCACGGCUAACUACGUG